GAUGAACGCUGGCGGCGUGCCUAAUACAUGCAAGUCGAGCGAACAGACGAGGAGCUUGCUCCUCUGACGUUAGCGGCGGACGGGUGAGUAACACGUGGAUAACCUACCUAUAAGACUGGGAUAACUUCGGGAAACCGGAGCUAAUACCGGAUAAUAUAUUGAACCGCAUGGUUCAAUAGUGAAAGACGGUUUUGCUGUCACUUAUAGAUGGAUCCGCGCCGCUUUAGCUAGUUGGUAAGGUAACGGCGUACCAAGGCAACGAUGCGUAGCCGACGUGAGAGGGUGAUCGGCCACACUGGAACUGAGACACGGUCCAGACUCGUACGGGAGGCAGCAGUAGGGAAUCUUCCGCAAUGGGCGAAAGCCUGACGGAGCAACGCCGCGUGAGUGAUGAAGGUCUUCGGAUCGUAAAACUCUGUUAUUAGGGAAAAACAAAUGUGUAAGUAACUAUGCACGUCUUGACGGUACCUAAUCAGAAAGCCACGGCUAACUACGUG
rnacentral:rRNA from 1 species